rnacentral:rRNA from 1 species
UACGAGUGCCUCGAGCGUUAUCCGGAAUUAUUGGGCGUAAAGGGUGUGUAGGCGGUUAUGUUAGUCUUGCGUUAAAUUCUCCGGCUCAACCGGAGAGCUGCGUGAGAAACGGCAUAACUGAGAGGAUGGAAGGGGUCUGCGGAACUCAUAGUGUAGCGGUGAAAUGCGUUGAUAUUAUGGGGAACACCAAAAGCGAAGGCAGCAGACUGGUCCACUCCUGACGCUGAAACACGAAAGCGUGGGUCGCGAAUGGG